CCAAAGGCAUUGUUUUCAAUUUUUUUUUUGUUUUUUUAAGCGCUAUCCAGUUAGGGUUGUUCUUCGAGUUUCCACUUCCCAGCUUUCCCUCCUUCAAUCUUGCUCAAAGUCGGGAACAUCUUUUUCUUCUUGGCUUUGUCGUUUUAUUCUUUGCAAAUGCCGACUGCGAGUGAUUGUGCCCCGUCGCCACCACUACUAUCUCCUGCGGGGACACAGUCAAAGUUGCAAAUAAAUGCAGUGAUAGCUUUCUUACCGUCAAAGUUUGGAGGGCUGGCACUCUGGAUUCGCCUCUAGCUGCUUUGAAUGCAACAUGCAGCGCAUCUGGGCAAACUCAGACCGUUACUCGCGAGGCACCAACAAUCACCCAAGCUCCUGUCCAUUCAGAGGAGAAGUUGCCACAACUUGAUGGCGGUGAUUCUGGAUUUCCACUCUGUGAUGACGACGUUGAUGGAGGCAACUGGUCAGGUGGAUUCUUCCUGCUCGGAUCUCUUACGUUUUUAGGCUUCUUAAAGGAUAAAGAAAGUGAAGAGGAUUAGCAGGAUAGUCGAAGGAGAUAGAUUAGCCGAUUGAUAAAAUUUUGUGGACCUAUUGCACCUUGAUUCUAAUGUUGAGGUCCUUUUGAUAAUGAAUAAUCUUCAAGGUAUGUUUGCAGGGAAUUAGAGAAAGGAUUUAAUUUCUGAUAAGGUUUUGAAAA